GAGAGAGAGAGAGAGAGAGAUACGCGCUCCUACCUCGCGCCAUGAUGAAUCAGCUAUACUCUAUAGUUUAGUACCUCCUUAAACCCAAAAACCCUUAAAUUUCUAAUACACAUCGAGUCAAAUUUUUUCCAUGUCCAAAGAAUUUUAAACUUUGAAGAGAAACAUACAGCGAUUGAAAGUCCUGUUAACCUUCUUCUUUUUCUUUUUAAUGCAAGCGUCAUAUCGUUUUCUCUCUCGCCUUCACUAUUCCCAGAAGCACACUUCAUCCGUUUCUUCUUCCAUUUUAUGGAACAAGGACUUGAUCCUCUCAUUAACCCAGUACAAUUCCAACAAUGAAAAUUGCAACACUAACUCUUGUUUAGACCCUAAUUUUGCCAAACAAGUUUUGAGCUUUGGUUCCUUUGCUCAGUCUCGUGGUUCUUUCACUUCUAAUAGGUUCUUAUUCUUGGGUUUGGUUUCGUUGGAUAAUCAGAAUUAUCAUAACUACUCAAUUCGUCGUAAUUUUUUCAGGAGGGCUAAACAAGUGAAGAAGAUCGAAAUCAAUGAUAAACAUAGUCAAAGAGCAGUCACAAUUGCAUUAUGGUGCAACUUCCUUGUUUUCUCUCUCAAGUUUGGGGUCUGGUUAGCAAGCUCUAGUCAUGUAAUGUUGGCUGAAGUUGUGCAUUCAGUUGCAGAUUUUGCAAACCAGGUUCUCCUUGCAUAUGGUUUGAGUAGCUCAAGACGCGCACCAGAUGCUCUUCAUCCCUAUGGCUAUUCCAAGGAAAGGUUUGUGUGGUCCUUGAUAUCUGCUGUUGGUAUAUUUUGUCUUGGUUCUGGAGCUACAAUUGUUCAUGGAGUUCAGAACUUGUGGACUUCACAUCCCCCUGCAAACAUUCAAUAUGCAGCUCUAGUGAUUGGUGGUUCAUUUAUCAUUGAAGGUGCUUCUCUUCUAGUUGCCAUACAAGCUGUGAAGAAAGGUGCAGCUGCAGAGGGAAUGAAAGUGAGAGAUUAUGUUUGGCGUGGUCAUGAUCCCACAUCUGUUGCAGUCAUGACAGAGGAUGGCGCUGCAGUAACUGGACUUGCUAUUGCUGCUGCAUCUCUGGUUGCAGUAAAUACGACAGGGAAUGCAAUUUAUGAUCCUAUAGGUUCAAUUAUUGUCGGAAACAUUCUUGGGAUGGUAUACAAUUUAUUUUACUUGUCAUUAUUUAAAUAGUUGAAAUUUAUAUGUGACAGAACAUUUUAGUACUGUCCGCAAUACUUAACUCUACUAAACAAUGCUUUAAACCCUAAGCUUGUGUUUGGUGAGGGGAUAAAAGUUUGAGGUACUUCUAACACCUUUGGAAACCCCCUUUUGAAUCUUGUUUUGUAAAAUAUUGUUGGUGGGU
rnacentral:misc_RNA from 1 species